UCACCUGCCCUGCAGCUCCCGACCGGGAGGCGGGGGCCAGGUCCUCCCUUUUCGCUAGGAGCGAGUCCCCCUCGUGGAGAGGGGCGGGCCAGAAUGUCAUAUAAAUGGAACCAUACAUUAUUUAUGAUUUCACACAGCAUAAUGCCUUUGAGAUAUCCAUGUGGUGUCAUAUAGCGGCCCACUCUUCGUUAUUGAUGAAAAGUAUUUCACUGCCAUAUUUACUUCCUGAAGACAUGUGCUCUUGGAUAAGAGAUGAGACUAUGGGAACAUCUGUCAGAAGGAGAACGGAUGGGGUGACCCCACUCAGGGUCAGAAAAGCAUCUUAAACUCCCCUCCCACACCUGUGUGAGGACCAAGAAUGGGGUCUCCUGGGCCGGGAAAAAAGCACUCAGUGGGACUGGUGUCCGUCUGGACACUGCUUUUAAGCUCAGUGAAAAUUAUUUUUAAAUUGGUUUCAAUGUAUUUCAAACCACGAUCAACUAUUUUCCUCAGUAGAAAGCCAUUAUAAACAGAGUGGGCAAAUUAGUCAACCUUUCUCACUUCAUUUUUCACAACUAGAAAAGGGGGGUAACCACACACAUCCUAUACCCACAGGCGUGAGGAUACACGAGCCUGAUGCGCGUUGAGCACCGGGACCGUAAGCACUGACAGGGGCAGCCAAUCCGUGGGUUUGGUAAACGUCAGUGUCAGCCUCUGAGGGUCACAGGGGAGCAGGCCCAUCUUGAGUGUUCAGCUUGGUUGUAGAUGCUGUCCUUAAACAUCUAAACGAAACCGAUAUCAAGGCACGUGUGCUCGGAAACCUCUCUGAGCCAUGCGUCCUGCUGGGGGCAAGUCAUGACUGGUCUCCCUUCUGCUCUGGGAAGAACAAGCUACCUGGGCUGGAGGCCCCCAGCUUGCUUGCUUUCUGAGGAAUGACUUGAAAGACAAGGAGUGGGCACUGCCUACCCUGGGCCAUGACUUCGAGGGCAAGACGGAUCCUAAAAAGGCAGAUUGCAGCAGAUCAAAAGGCAGGGCUCAGGAUGCACCAGUCAGACAGCAAGCCCUGUACCCACAGACAUCUCCCCAAAGGGAGUGGUCACAGGCAAGCAGCCCUUGGAGGCCUCCAGACACCAGGGGGCAGCACAACACACUUUCCCAAAUAGGAGGGCCCUGCCAAAUGGCUGGUAAGGUGAUUUGGCAAGAGAGACACUUUCAGUGGCAUGGUGGUAAAGGCAGGUGGAUCCUACAUG